UAAGAAGGAAACUAGCUCAGAAGCUGCUGUUUUGAGGAAGAGUGGCAUCUAAUGGUGCCAGGAGAUGAGUGAGAUGAAGACAGAGAGAUAUCCUUGGACCUGAGAGCUGUUGUUUUCUUGGUGUCCAGCAACGAGUCUUCUUGGUCAACUGAUACAUGCACCUCCCAGGAGCACCAGGUGGGGCGGAUACUCGAGAGCUGUUGUAGGGCUUUGAGAGACUGUACAGGCCUGUUGGGAUCCAGGCAAGUGCAGGGUACUUCGGGCUGGUUUUGUCCUCACUUUGUCAUUUCCACAUAGAGGACAGGCUCCCCGAUUCUUGGAUUAACCAGCACACGGACUUGCCCAGUAGCUCCGGAGAGCAAAGAGUCUCCAGCAUAUGUCAUCAAAGCAGACGCAGGAGAGUCAUGCUGGACGGGAGCAGCUCAGGAUGAGGCGCGCCUCCUUCUCUGGACUGAGAAGAGAAAGGACAUUGAACUCAUAAAUUAGCUACAAUUACGCCUUUGUACC
rnacentral:lncRNA from 12 species